CCUCGCGCCUGAAGAGGAGCCCGCGGCGGAUUAGCUAGUUGGCAGGGUAACGGCCUACCAAGGCGACGAUCCGUAGCCGGCCUGAGAGGGCGGUCGGCCACACUGGCACUGACACACGGGCCAGACUCCUACGGGAGGCAGCAGUCGGGAAUUUUGGGCAAUGGGCGAAAGCCUGACCCAGCAACGCCGCGUGAAGGAUGAAGCUUUUCGGAGUGUAAACUUCAUAAGAAUGGGACGAAUAAGAGAGGGCUAAUAUCCCUUUUGAUGACGGUACCAUUUGUAAGCUCCGGCUAACUCCGUGCCAGCAGCCGCGGUAAUACGGGGGGAGCAAGCGUUGUUCGGAUUUACUGGGCGUAAAGGGCGCGUAGGCGGCGUGACAAGUCACUUGUGAAAUCUCCGGGCUUAACCCGGAGCGGCCAAGUGAUACUGUCGUGCUAGAGUGCGGAAGGGGCUACUGGAAUUCUCGGUGUAGCGGUGAAAUGCGUAGAUAUCGAGAGGAACACCUGCGGCGAAGGCGGGUAGCUGGGCCGACACUGACGCUGAUGCGCGAAAGCCAGGGGAGCGAACGGGAUUAGAUACCCCGGUAGUCCUGGCCUUAAACGAUGGAUACUUGGUGUCCGAGGUUACAUAGUCCUCGGGUGCCGGCGCUAACGCAUUAAGUAUCCCGCCUGGGGAGUACGGUCGCAAGACUGAAACUCAAAGGAAUUGACGGGGACCCGCACAAGCGGUGGAGCAUGUGGUUUAAUUCGACGCAACGCGGAGAACCUUACCUAGGCUAGAAUGCUCCUGACAGCCCCAGAGAUGGGGUCUCUCGGGUAAAACCGAGAAGGAUGCAAGGUGCUGCAUGGCUGUCCUCAGCUC
rnacentral:rRNA from 1 species